GGGCACAGGGGAAGAGCGUCUGCCUUGCGUGCAGAAGGUCCCGUCUUCAAUCCCCAGCAUCUCCA